GGGUCAUUAAGCUUAGUUGGUAAUGCACUUGUCUAGCAAAAAAGGGUUGUGAGUUCAAAUCUCACCUGAGCUG
rnacentral:tRNA from 1 species